UUGCCCGACGAAUCGAAAAACACCAUAUUAUCGUGUCUUAAACCCAUAAAAAGAUCUUAUUUUGGAUCCAAAUAAUAAAUAUUAGACCAAAACAUAGAAUAAACUAUAUUAUUAUUACAUAAGAACCAUCUUAAAUUACCUAUCACCAUUGUACACUACUCUAAUGCUGCUAUAUAAUUGGUAUGUUUCUUUUUAUCAAUUAAAAUUGAAUAUUAUUACAUAAGAACCAUCUUAAAUUACCUAUCACCAUUGUACAC
rnacentral:lncRNA from 1 species